ensembl:misc_RNA Metazoa_SRP Metazoan signal recognition particle RNA
GCCAGGUGUGGCGGUGCAUGCCUGUAAUCCCAACUCCUUGGGAGGCUGAGACAGGAGAAUCGCUUGAACCCAGGAGGUGGAGGUUGCAGUGAGCCGAGAUCGUGCCACUGCACUCCAGCCUGGGUGACAGAGCCAGAUUUUGUCUCAA